UGGGGAAUUUUGGACAAUGGGCGAAAGCCUGAUCCAGCCAUGCCGCGUGAGUGAAGAAGGCCUUCGGGUUGUAAAGCUCUUUUAGUCGGAAAGAAAGAGUUGCAAUGAAUAAUUGUGAUUUAUGACGGUACCUACAGAAAAAGCACCGGCUAACUACGUGCCAGCAGCCGCGGUAAUACGUAGGGUGCGAGCGUUAAUCGGAAUUACUGGGCGUAAAGGGUGCGCAGGCGGUCUUGCAAGUCAGAUGUGAAAGCCCCGGGCUUAACCUGGGAAUUGCGUUUGAAACUACAAGACUAGAGUGCAGCAGAGGGGAGUGGAAUUCCAUGUGUAGCAGUGAAAUGCGUAGAGAUGUGGAAGAACACCGAUGGCGAAGGCAGCUCCCUGGGUUGACACUGACGCUCAUGCACGAAAGCGUGGGGAGCAAACA
rnacentral:rRNA from 1 species